AGUCUGGGCCAUACUUUGUAUCAAUACAUCGAUAGACUUCAAAUCAACUACAGUUGAAAUUUAUUUCUUUGUUCUGCUUAAUUAAAUCAUUGUUUAAAAAUCAAAUAUAAUGGAUCAAUCAAACCGAACCAACCAGUGCAAUCCUACACAUGCCCCAAGUGGCCCAGGCCACAAUGCUGGCUACGCAGGGACUGGAACCAAGAGCGAUCUUGGUAAUCACGCAAACCAAAUGAACCCAAACAGCGCUGCUUAUGCCAGUAGUCGAGGGGGCAAUAAGAAGUGAUCACUCAGGUUACUCCAAGACUCAAUGAUGAUUUUAUUCUAAUAGAUUUUCUUUGCAGCUUACAUCUAUUGAAUCUUUACAGAAUUAAAUAAAAUUAAAUUGAAAAUAA